rnacentral:rRNA from 1 species
AGGGCACCACCAGGAGUGGAGCCUGCGGCCUAAUUUGACUCAACACGGGAAAACUCACCCGGCCCGGACACUGGAAGGAUUGACAGAUUGAGAGCUCUUUCUUGAUUCAGUGGGUGGUGGUGCAUGGCCGUUCUUAGUUGGUGGAGUGAUUUGUCUGGUUAAUUCCGAUAACGAACGAGACUCUAGCCUACUAAAUAGAUCGUCGGCUUACAAACGCCGGCGAGACUUCUUAGAGGGACAGGCGGUGAUUCAACCGCACGAAACAGAGCAAUAACAGGUCUGUGAUGCCCUUAGAUGUCCGGGGCCGCACGCGUGCUACACUGAAGUGAUCAGCGUGCUUUUUCAACCUACUCUGUCAAGAGUGGGGAACCCAAUGAACCUUCUUCGUGAUUGGGAUAGGGGAUUGUAAUUAUUCCCCUUGAACGAGGAAUUCCCAGUAAGCGCGAGUCAUAAGCUCGCGUUGAUUACGUCCCUGCCCUUUGUACACACCGCCCGUCGCUACUACCGAUUGAAUGUUUU